rnacentral:rRNA from 1 species
UGCGUAGGCGGUCCGGAAAGUCGGUGGUGAAAGCCCACGGCUCAACCGUGGAAGUGCUUCCGAUACUACCGGACUUGAGUGCAGGAGGGGAGAGUGGAACUCUUGGUGGAGCGGUGAAAUGCGUUGAUAUCAAGAGGAACGCCGGCGGCGAAAGCGGCUCUCUGGCCUGCAUCUGACGCUGAGGCACGAAAGCCAGGGGAGCGAACG